rnacentral:tRNA from 1 species
GCUCAGGUGUUGAAAUUGGUAGACAAGCUGGAUUUAGGUUCCAGUGCUCUUUUGGGCGUGAGGGUUCGAGUCCCUCCCUGAGCACCA